AUUGAACGCUGGCGGCAGGCCUAACACAUGCAAGUCGAACGGUAACAGGAAGAAGCCUGCUUCUUUGCUGACGAGUGGCGGACGGGUGAGUAAUGUCUGGGAAACUGCCUGAUGGAGGGGGAUAACUACUGGAAACGGUAGCUAAUACCGCAUAACGUCGCAAGACCAAAGAGGGGGACCUUCGGGCCUCUUGCCAUCGGAUGUGUCCAGAUGGGAUUAGCUAGUAGGUGGGGUAACGGCUCACCUAGGCGACGAUCCCUAGCUGGUCUGAGAGGAUGACCAGCCACACUGGAACUGAGACACGGUCCAGACUCCUACGGGAGGCAGCAGUGGGGAAUAUUGCACAAUGGGCGCAAGCCUGAUGCAGCCAUGCCGCGUGUAUGAAGAAGGCCUUCGGGUUGUAAAGUACUUUCAGCGGGGAGGAAGGGAGUAAAGUUAAUACCUUUGCUCAUUGACGUUACCCGCAGAAGAAGCACCGGCUAACUCCGUG
rnacentral:rRNA from 1 species